rnacentral:rRNA from 1 species
CUUGCACGCUGGCGGCAGACCUAACACAUGCAAGUCGAGAGAGCGACUGACGGGUGAGUAAUGUAUUGGGAUCUGCCUUAUGGAGGGGGAUAACUCCUGGAAACGGUAUCUAAUACCGCAUACCAUCGGAUGUGCCCUGAUGUGAUUAGCUAUUAGUUGGGGUACAGUCUCAACUAGGCGACGAUCACGAUCUGGUCGGAGAGGAUGACCAGCCAAACUGGUACGGAGACACGGUCCAGACGCCCACGGUAGGCAGCAGUGGGGAAUAUUGCACAAUGGGCGCAAGCCGGAUGCAGCCAGGCCGGGUGUAUGAAGAAGGCCUUAGGGUUGUAAAGUACUUUCAGCGGGGAGGCGUUACCCGCAGAAGAAGCACCGGCUAACUCCGUGCCAGCAGCCGCGGUAAUUC